rnacentral:rRNA from 1 species
UACGUAGGGGGCAAGCGUUGUCCGGAUUUAUUGGGCGUAAAGAGCGUGUAGGCGGCUAUACAGGUCCGUUGUGAAAACUCGAGGCUCAACCUCGAGACGCCGAUGGAAACCGUAUGGCUAGAGUCCGGAAGAGGAGAGCGGAAUUCCUGGUGUAGAGGUGGAAUUCGUAGAUAUUAGGAAGAACACCAGUGGCGAAGGCGGCUCACUGGUCCGGUACUGACGCUGAGGUGCGAAAGCGUGGGGAGCAAACAGG